AGUGAACGCUGGCGGUAGGCCUAACACAUGCAAGUCGAACGGCAGCACAGUAAGAGCUUGCUCUUACGGGUGGCGAGUGGCGGACGGGUGAGGAAUACAUCGGAAUCUACUUUUUCGUGGGGGAUAACGUAGGGAAACUUACGCUAAUACCGCAUACGACCUACGGGUGAAAGCAGGGGAUCUUCGGACCUUGCGCGAUUGAAUGAGCCGAUGUCGUAUUAGCUAGUUGGCGGGGUAAAGGCCCACCAAGGCGACGAUCCGUAGCUGGUCUGAGAGGAUGAUCAGCCACACUGGAACUGAGACACGGUCCAGACUCCUACGGGAGGCAGCAGUGGGGAAUAUUGGACAAUGGGCGCAAGCCUGAUCCAGCCAUACCGCGUGGGUGAAGAAGGCCUUCGGGUUGUAAAGCCCUUUUGUUGGGAAAGAAAAGCAGCAGGUUAAUACCCCGCUGUUCUGACGGUACCAAAAGAAUAAGCACCGGCUAACUUCGUG
rnacentral:rRNA from 1 species